UUGCCAGGCAGAUUAUGCUAAUAAGACCCCGCCUUUUAUGCUGCUCCCACUCUGCGGCGGGAAGAACCACCUGGAGGUGGCGGGGGGGUUUGAUUUCUAUCACCCCUAGGGAGAGAGGAUCGGGGACCCGCUGAUCUUCCAGCUCCCCUCACCCAACGUCGUGCACGCUGCAGACAGACCUUUCUGUCCUUCAUGAACACACGUGUGGUAGACAGAUGACUGGCCUCCACCUGGUGCUGCUCUAGGUGUGCCAGUCGUGGAGCUGUCCAGCUGGGAGAAGAUGGAUUCCAAAGAUGAAAGCUCGCAUGUGUGGCCUUCGCCUGCGGACCAUGAACAGAAUGCCACACAGGUGCACUUUGUUCCGGACACUGGAACGGUGGCUCAGAUCGUCUACACUGAUGACCAGGUUCGCCCACCCCAGCAGGUGGUGUACACGGCAGAUGGUGCCUCCUACACAUCAGUGGAUGGUCCAGAGCACACGCUGGUGUACAUCCACCCGGUGGAGGCUGCGCAGACUCUGUUUACAGACCCAGGCCAGGUAGCUUACGUCCAACAAGAUGCUACAGCUCAGCAGGCCUCAUUGCCAGUGCAUAACCAGGUGCUGCCUUCAAUCGAGAGUGUGGAUGGGUCCGAUCCUUUGGCAACUCUGCAGACCCCUCUAGGUAGACUGGAGGCGAAAGAGGAAGAGGAUGAGGAUGAGGACGAGGACACUGAGGAAGAAGAGGAGGAAGACGGUGAGGACACAGAUCUGGAUGACUGGGAGCCAGACCCACCCCGGCCCUUCGACCCGCACGACUUAUGGUGUGAGGAGUGUAAUAACGCGCAUUCUUCAGUGUGCCCGAAGCACGGCCCCUUGCACCCGAUCCCCAACCGGCCGGUGCUCACCCGUGCGAGGGCGAGCCUCCCCCUGGUGCUCUACAUAGACAGGUUUCUGGGCGGGGUGUUCUCCAAGCGGCGCAUCCCCAAGCGCACCCAGUUUGGGCCCGUGGAGGGGCCUCUCGUCAGGGGCUCGGAGCUGAAAGACUGUUACAUUCACCUCAAGGUUUCUCUUGAUAAAGGGGACAGAAAAGACAGGGAUUUGCAUGAAGACCUGUGGUUCGAGUUGUCUGAUGAGACGCUUUGUAACUGGAUGAUGUUUGUACGGCCAGCCCAGAAUCACCUGGAGCAGAACCUUGUGGCUUACCAGUAUGGCCACCAUGUGUAUUAUACAACCAUAAAAAAUGUGGAGCCCAAGCAGGAACUGAAGGUGUGGUACGCCGCAUCCUAUGCUGAGUUCGUGAACCAGAAAAUUCAUGACAUUUCUGAGGAAGAAAGGAAAGUUCUUCGAGAGCAAGAGAAGAAUUGGCCCUGUUAUGAAUGUAACCGCCGAUUUAUAAGCUCGGAGCAGCUACAACAGCACCUCAAUUCUCAUGAUGAGAAACUAGAUGUGUUUAGCAGAACAAGAGGCAGAGGAAGGGGACGAGGCAAGAGGCGAUUUGGUCCAGGUCGACGACCGGGGCGUCCUCCAAAAUUUAUCCGCCUGGAAAUCACCAGCGAAAAUGGGGAAAAGAGUGAUGAUGGGACACAGGACUUGCUACAUUUUCCCACAAAGGAGCAAUUUGAUGAGGCUGAACCAGCCACUUUGAAUGGGCUGGAUCAACCAGAACAGACCACUAUCCCAAUCCCUCAGCUGCCACAAGAAACCCAGUCUCCCCUGGAACAUGAACCAGAAACUCACACCCUGCAUCUGCAGCCGCAGCACGAAGAGAGCAUGGUGCCCACCCAGAGCACGCUGACAGCCGAUGACAUGCGCAGAGCCAAGCGCAUCCGAUUGGAGCUGCAGAAUGCAGCUCUUCAGCAUCUGUUUAUUCGGAAGUCCUUCCGGCCUUUUAAAUGCUUGCAGUGUGGGAAGGCCUUCCGGGAAAAGGACAAACUGGACCAGCACUUGCGUUUCCAUGGGCGGGAGGGGAACUGCCCAUUGACCUGUGAUCUCUGUAACAAGGGCUUCAUCAGCAGCGCAUCCUUGGAGAGCCACAUGAAGCUCCACUCAGACCAGAAGACUUACUCUUGCAUUUUUUGCCCAGAAUCCUUUGACCGCCUUGAUUUGUUGAAAGAUCAUGUGGCCAUUCAUAUUAAUGAUGGCUACUUCACCUGCCCAACUUGUAAGAAACGGUUCCCAGAUUUUAUCCAGGUGAAAAAACACGUGCGCAGCUUCCACUCCGAAAAGAUCUACCAGUGCACAGAGUGCGACAAGGCCUUCUGUCGCCCGGACAAACUGCGACUCCACAUGCUCCGGCAUUCGGACCGCAAAGACUUCCUGUGUUCCACCUGUGGGAAGCAAUUUAAGCGAAAAGACAAGCUACGGGAACACAUGCAGAGGAUGCAUAAUCCCGAGAGGGAGGCCAAGAAAGCUGACCGCAUCAGCCGCUCCAAGACGUUCAAGCCUCGCAUCACGUCCACAGACUACGACAGCUUCACGUUCAAGUGCCGCCUGUGCAUGAUGGGUUUCCGGCGGCGCGGCAUGCUGGUAAAUCACUUAUCAAAGAGACAUCCAGACAUGAAGAUAGAAGAGGUGCCAGAGUUAACCCUACCCAUCAUAAAGCCCAACCGUGAUUACUUCUGUCAGUAUUGCGAUAAGGUUUAUAAAAGUGCCAGCAAGCGCAAAGCCCACAUUCUGAAGAACCACCCAGGAGCAGAGCUGCCACCGAGCAUUCGGAAACUCCGGCCAGCUGGUCCUGGCGAGCCAGACCCCAUGCUGAGCACACACACCCAGCUGACAGGCACCAUCGCCACCCCUCCCGUCUGCUGUCCCCACUGCUCCAAGCAGUACAGUAGCAAGACCAAAAUGGUCCAGCACAUUCGAAAGAAGCAUCCGGAGUUCGCCCAGCUCUCCAACACCAUACACACACCACUGACGACAGCUGUGAUCAGUGCCACCCCAGCAGUUUUAACUACAGACAGCGCCACUGGAGAGACCGUGGUGACGACGGACCUGCUCACCCAAGCAAUGACAGAACUGUCCCAGACCUUAACGACAGACUACCGAACGCCGCAGGGGGAUUACCCGAGAAUUCAGUACAUCCCUGUGUCGCAGUCGGCGUCUGGGCUCCAGCAGCCUCAGCACAUACAGCUUCAAGUGGUGCAAGUGGCCCCGGCCACCUCCCCUCACCAGUCACAGCAGUCCACUGUGGAUGUAGGCCAGCUCCACGAUCCUCAGCCCUACCCCCAGCAUGCCAUCCAGGUGCAGCACAUCCAGGUCAGCGAGCCCACCGCCUCGGCCCCGUCCUCGGCCCAGGUAUCUGCGCAGCCAUUGAGUCCCUCAGCCCAGCAGGCUCAGCAGGGACUCAGCCCCUCCCACAUCCAGGGCAGUUCUUCCACACAGGGCCAGGCUCUGCAGCAGCAGCAGCAGCAGCAGCAGAAUUCCUCUGUGCAGCACACGUACCUGCCCAGCACUUGGAAUUCCUUCCGUGGCUAUUCAUCUGAGAUUCAAAUGAUGACGCUUCCCCCAGGUCAGUUCGUGAUUACAGACAGCGGUGUGGCGACUCCAGUUACUACUGGCCAGGUGAAGGCGGUUACUCCGCUGACCAACCCUCCUUCUGACUGACAGACACAUUUCUUUAAAAAUGUUAAUGUAACAAAAUAGCCAGCUACAGGUCUAUGAAGAUGUUUUCAUGAUGAGGGGAAAAAUAAGAAAACAAAGACAAUGUGGUCAUUAUGUGUUGUCAGAAAGUCAACCAGAAUUGGAAGAAAAGCAGACUUCUGCCCUUUCUGGUGGAGUCCAGGUCCAGCCUCCUGCACACAGUGACUCCUUGGACCCCCAGACCACCAGCCAACAGCAGACCACACAGUACAUCAUCACCACCACCACCAAUGGGAACGGAAGCAGCGAAGUGCACAUCACCAAACCGUGACUUCUACCCUGGAGCUCCAGUCCAGCACCCACCUCAUGUCUGUUCUGACAUGAGUUUCAUAAGUCUGAAAGCUCUGACACUUAGAACUCUUUUGUAAGAUUUAUUAUUCACUCAAGAGUUUGGAAACAGCAGUUUCGUCUCUCAUGCAUACACUGGGGUUUAUUUUAUCAAGGUCACCUUUAUCAAACUCACUCUUCAAACCCUCAGUUUUUGCCAUGGAAUGGAGGUCUUUCAGGGGAAAGUAGAUUACGAGAUGGAGAGAAUCGGACUUGCUCUUGAGUUGUUUUUUUAACACGCUGACAAGCCUUACUUUUCCUUUGUGGAAAUAUUAAGUGGCGUAUUCAUACCAAAGGUGGAGAAAGGAUGUGCCAAGUCCAUGGUUACCGGACUUCUUAUUCCAAGCUAUGGCACCGAAGGAGAAGGGGCAUUUUGUGGGUAUGUGUUAGGUCUGAACUGCUUUAUCUUGUGAGUUUUAGUUUUCAGUAAUUUCCAAAGGAAGCCUGUCGAAUAAGCAAAUAAAAAUGAUGAAACAAAAGUUUGACAGUGAUGUUCUGAAGGAAUAACUGUCAUCUAAAUUUUUCUUAUUGCUGAUUUAUUUUUAACUUCCCUAUUUUAGAAAACUAUUGUUGGGCUGCUGGUAGUGCUUUCCACAGAUGCUGGUCCUCAGUGGAUUAGGUCAGGAGCUGAUGUUCUGAUAGCUCUUCAUUAUUUCACAAGGUGGAUUCCCUGAAAGAGAAGAGGCUGCUUGAAGUCAGCAGAAUCUAAACCCUUACAUUCAAACUUUGCCUCCCAUUCUCUGGUUGUGGUGGUGGUAAGAAAGAGAUAUUGGUACCAAGAAAAAUUACCAAAACUGUUGAGAGAGAGAGUAUUGAAAUUUUGUUCUGCCUUGCAGGAUUCAUUUGUCAUUCAUUGGUAAAGGAUGCAUUCCAUGUUCUUACCAAGUGUACAUUUAACUCUUGCUGACAGUGUUCAGUGUAUUUUAGUACUUCUAAUGCUGUCUUAAAAUGAACAUUCUUUAAAGUUGAAUGGAAAGGUGGCAUUUCAUAUUUCUUAACACUUUUAACGGUAAACAUAUUGUGACUCAUCUGGACCUUUUAAUAAGAUGAUCAACUUCACACUUAGGGAAAAAUUAAAAUGUGGGGACCGCUUAUAAUAAUUAAGAUAGUUACAAGGGAUCUGGAAGAAAUCCAGUCUUUAUGAGUAUACUGUUAGUUGGGCAUUAAAAAAACCAG